GCUGGGUAUGGUGGCGCAUGCCUGUAAUCCUAGCAACGCGGGAGGCUGAGACAGGAGAAUCGCUUGAACCCAGGAGACAGGUGUUACAGUGAGGCCAGAUGGUGCCACUGCACUCCAGCCUGGGUGACAAAGUGAGACUCCAUCUCAG
rnacentral:SRP_RNA from 1 species